GCACCGGCUGUUGGAGUGCCGGUCCAGGGUCCAACAUUUAGUGACCAACAUCAAAUGUACUUGUCUCUCCUAAGCCGCACUGACUGCCAUGUCCCUCGUCAGGUUUUCACUGCAAAUCUCUGUCUAGAGGAUCGUGGCUGAGGCACCAUGGAAUGCUGCUGUUCUACUGGAGAUGCAAUUUCAUCCAAAAGAAAAAGGGAAAAGUAUCCAAGUCUUUCUAGUCUCCGGGCAUUUAGAAAAGCUUUAGAACAAGAUCUGCGCUGGCACAAGAAUCUGAGUGGAAAUCACCCUGCCCAGCUGUGAGCCCCGGGGCGGGUGAGCCACACACUUGGAUCUCAGUGCAGUUGUGGCCUCUGGGAAGAAGGCUUUGGAUGCAGAUUUUAAACAGGUACUCAACUCAGACUGAGUAACGGCUACUUUCAACUUAACAAUAUGUGAGAAAUCCAUCUCA
rnacentral:antisense_RNA from 1 species